rnacentral:rRNA from 1 species
GAUGAACGCUGGCGGCGUGCUUAACACAUGCAAGUCGAACGAUGAAGCCCAGCUUGCUGGGUGGAUUAGUGGCGAACGGGUGAGUAACACGUGAGUAACCUGCCCUUAACUCUGGGAUAAGCCUGGGAAACUGGGUCUAAUACCGGAUAGGAGCGUCCACCGCAUGGUGGGUGUUGGAAAGAUUUAUCGGUUUUGGAUGGACUCGCGGCCUAUCAGCUUGUUGGUGAGGUAAUGGCUCACCAAGGCGCCGACGGGUAGCCGGCCUGAGAGGGUGACCGGCCACACUGGGACUGAGACACGGCCCAGACUCCUACGGGGGGCAGCAGUGGGGAAUAUUGCACAAUGGGCGCAAGCCUGAUGCAGCGACGCCGCGUGAGGGAUGACGGCCUUCGGGUUGUAAACCUCUUUCAGUAGGGAAGAAGCGAAAGUGACGGUACCUGCAGAAGAAGCACCGGCUAACUACGUG